rnacentral:rRNA from 1 species
CAGCCGCCGCGGAAUACGUAGGGUGCAAGCGUUAAUCGGAAUUACUGGGCGUAAAGCGUGCGCAGGCGGUUAUAUAAGACAGAUGUGAAAUCCCCGGGCUCAACCUGGGAACUGCAUUUGUGACUGUAUAGCUAGAGUACGGCAGAGGGGGAUGGAAUUCCGCGUGUAGCAGUGAAAUGCGUAGAUAUGCGGAGGAACACCGAUGGCGAAGGCAAUCCCCUGGGCCUGUACUGACGCUCAUGCACGAAAGCGUGGGGAGCAAACAGGAUUAGAUACCCCGGUAGUCCCUGUCUCUUAUACA